rnacentral:rRNA from 1 species
AUACGGAGGAUCCGAGCGUUAUCCGGAUUUAUUGGGUUUAAAGGGAGCGUAGGCGGGAGAUCAAGUCAGCUGUGAAAUGUAGGCGCUCAACGUGUGCAUUGCAGUUGAUACUGGUUUCCUUGAGUACGGUACAGGUGGGCGGAAUUCGUGGUGUAGCGGUGAAAUGCUUAGAUAUCACGAAGAACUCCGAUCGCGAAGGCAGCUCACCGGGCCGGAACUGACACUGAUGCUCGAAAGUGCGGGUAUCAAACAGGAUUAGAUACCCUGGUAGUCCGCACAGUAAACGAUGAAUACUCGCUGUUUGCGAUACACGGUAAGCGGCCAAGCGAAAGCGUUAAGUAUUCCACCUGGGGGGUACGCCGGCAACGGUGAAACUCAAAUGAAUUGACGGGG